AGUCCUGUAGUAAGUGUCACGUCAAAUUGCAAAUUUGAAAAAGUUCCUAUUUGGUUCCAGGGCUU
rnacentral:tRNA from 1 species